ensembl:lncRNA
GUAUAGACCGCUAUGGGGAGCUAUAAAGUACUAUGGGGUGCUAUAAACCAGUAUAAACCAGUAUGGACCAGUAUGGACCAGUAUAAACUGCUAUAGACCAGUAGAGACCAGUAUGGGCCAAUAUAAACCAGCAUAGAUUGUCAUAGACCAGUAUAGAUCUAUAUAAGACAAGAUAGAUCAGCGUAGGUAUAGAAGUUUAGGGACCAGUAUAAACCAGUAUGGACCAGUAUAAACCAGUAUAGACCAGUAUGGACCAGUAUGGACCAGUAUAGACCAGUAUAGACCAGUAUAAACUGCUAUAGACCAGUAUGGACCGGUAUAGACCAGUAUAGACGAGUAGGGACCAGUAUAGAUCAGUAUAGACCAGUAUAGUAUGGGCUGGUAUGGACUGCUAUGGGGUGCUAUAAACCAGUAUAGACCAGUAUAGACCAGUAUGGACCAGUAUAAAGUGCUAUUGACCAGUAGAGACCAGUAUAGAUUGGUAGAGACCAGUAUAGAUUGGUAUAGACCAGUAUAGGGCGCUAUGGAGCGGAAUGGGCUGCUAUAAAGUACUAUGGAAUGGCAUAGAGCAGUAUACACCAGUAUAGACCAGUAUGGACCAGUAUACACCAGUAUAGACCAGUAGAGACCAGUAUAGACGAGUAGGGACCAGUAUAGAUAAGUAUAGACCAGUAUAGAUAAGUAUGGACUGCUAUGGGGAGCUAUAAACCACUAUGGAAUGGCAUAGACCAGUAUAAACCAGUAUACACCAGUAUACACCAGUAUGGACCAGUAUAGACCAGUAUGGACCAGUAUAAACUGCUAUAGACCAGUAGAAACCAGUAUAGAUUGGUAUAGACCAGUAUAGAUUGGUAUAGACCAGUAUAGGGCGCUAUGGAGCGGUAUGGGCUGCUAUAAUAGACCAGUAUGGACCAGUAUACACCAGUAUAGACCAGUAUAGACCAGUAUAGAGCAGUAUGGGCCAGUAUAAACCGCUAUAGACCAGUAGAGACCAGUAUAGAUUGGUAUAGACCAGUAUAGAUAAAUAUGGACUGCUAUGGGGAGCUAUAAAGUACUAUGGAAUGGCAUAGACCAGUAUAGACCAGUAUGGACCAGUAUACACCAGUAUAGACCAGUAUAGACCAGUAUAGAGCAGUAUGGGCCAGUAUAAACCGCUAUAGACCAGUAGAAACCAGUAUAGAUUGGUAUAGACCAGUAUAGGGCGCUAUGGAGCAGUAUGGGCUGCUAUAAACUACUAUGGAAUGGCAUAGACCAGUAUAGACCAGUAGGGACCAGUAUGGACCAGUAUGGACCAGUAUAGACCGGUAUAAACCAGUAUAAAGCGCUAUAGACCAGUAGAGACCAGUAUGGACCAGUAUAGACCAGUAUAGACUCCCAGAAUAGACUCCCAUUCCCUCCCAGUCCCUCCCAGUCCCUCCCAGUAUAUCCCAGUGCCCUCCCAGUCCCUCCCAGUC